GACGAACCGUGCGAACGUUGUUCGGAAUCACUGGGCUUAAAGGGCGCGGAGGCGGGCGACCAAGUCCUGGGUGAAAUCCUCCGGCUUAACCGGAGAAGUGCCUGAGAUACUGGUCGUCUGGAGGGAGGUAGGGGCAGCUGGAACUUCCGGUGGAGCGGUGAAAUGCGUUGAUAUCGGAAGGAACGCCGGUGGCGAAAGCGAGCUGCAGGACCUCUUCUGACGCUGAGGCGCGAAAGCCAGGGGAGCAAACGGG
rnacentral:rRNA from 1 species